rnacentral:tRNA from 1 species
GGAGGGAUGGCAGAGUGGUCGAAUGCGGCGGUCUUGAAAACCGUUGUACCGAAAGGUACCGGGGGUUCGAAUCCCUCUCCCUCCGCCA